rnacentral:rRNA from 3 species
CUGGGCGUAAGCGUGCGCAGGCGGUUGUGCAAGACCGAUGUGAAAUCCCCGGGCUUAACCUGGGAAUUGCAUUGGUGACUGCACGGCUAGAGUGUGUCAGAGGGGGGUAGAAUUCCACGUGUAGCAGUGAAAUGCGUAGAGAUGUGGAGGAAUACCGAUGGCGAAGGCAGCCCCCUGGGAUAACACUGACGCUCAUGCACGAAAGCGUGGGGAGCAAACAGGAUUAGAUACCCUGGUAGUCCACGCCCUAAACGAUGUCAACUAGUUGUUGGGGAUUCAUUUCCUUAGUAACGUAGCUAACGCGUGAAGUUGACCGCCUGGGGAGUACGGUCGCAAGAUUAAAACUCAAAGGAAUUUGACGG